UCGGGAAUUUUGGGCAAUGGGCGAAAGCCUGACCCAGCAACGCCGCGUGAGGGAUGAAGUAUUUCGGUAUGUAAACCUCGAAAGAAUGGGUAGAAUAAAUGACGGUACCAUUUAUAAGCUCCGGCUAACUACGUGCCAGCAGCCGCGGUAAUACGUAGGGAGCAAGCGUUGUUCGGAUUUACUGGGCGUAAAGGGCGCGUAGGCGGCGCGGUAAGUCACUUGUGAAAUCUCUGAGCUUAACUCAGAACGGCCAAGUGAUACUGCUGUGCUAGAGUGCGGAAGAGGCAACCGGAAUUCUUGGUGUAGCGGUGAAAUGCGUAGAUAUCAAGAGGAACACCUGAGGCGAAGGCGGGUUGCUGGGCCGACACUGACGCUGAUGCGCGAAAGCCAGGGGAGCAAACG
rnacentral:rRNA from 1 species